UGCAUGCAAGUCGAACGGAGAGCACCGGCUUCGGCCGGUGUUUUUAGUGGCGGACGGCUGAGGAACACGUGAGCAACCUGCCCUGAGGAGGGGGAUAACCCGCCGAAAGGGGGGCUAAAACCGCAUAGCCUGAGCUACCGCGAGGUGGUUCAGGAAAGGUUGCCUGAGAGGGUAACUGCCUUGGGAGGGGCUCGCGGCCUAUCAUGGUAGUUGGUGAGGUAGUGGCUCACCAAGCCGAAGACGGGUAGCUGGUCUGAGAGGACGGCCAGCCAGAGGGGGACUGAGACACGGCCCCCACUCCUACGGGAGGCAGCAGCAGGGGAUCUUGCGCAAUGGGCGAAAGCCUGACGCAGCGACGCCGCGUGGGGGAAGAAGGCCUUCGGGUUGUAAACCCCUUUUCUUGGGGACGAGGAAGGACGGUACCCGAGGAAGAAGCCCCGGCUAACUACGUGCCAGCAGCCGCGGUAAGACGUAGGGGGCGAGCGUUGUCCGGAUUUACUGGGCGUAAAGGGCGCGUAGGCGGUGUAGUAUGUCCCGGGUGAAAGCCCCUGGCUUAACUGGGGGAGAGCCUGGGAAACGGCUGCGCUAGAGGGCGGCAGAGGCGAGUGGAAUUCCCGGUGUAGUUGGUGAUAUGCGUAGAGAUCGGGAGGAACACCCGUGGCGAAGGGCGGCUCGCUGGGCCGAACCUGACGCUGAGGCGCGAAAGCGUGGGGAGCGAACCGGAUUAGAUACCCGGGUAGUCCACGCCCUAAACGAUGGAUGCUGGGUAUGGGGGGGUAUCGACCCCCCUCCGUGCCGAAGCACACGCGAUAAGCAUCCCGCCUGGGGAGUACGGCUGCAAGGCUAAAUCUCAAAGGAAUUGACGGGGCCCCGCACAAGCAGCGGAGCGUGUGGUUUAAUUCGAUGCUAAGCGCAGAACCUUACCAGGGUUUGACAUGUUGGUGGUACCCUCCUGAAAGGGUAGGGGACCCUUCGGGGAGCCGACACAGGUGCUGCAUGGCUGUCGUCAGCUCGUGCCGUGAGGUGUUGGGUUAAGUCCCGCAACGAGCGCAACCCUCGUCGUUAGUUGAAUUCUCUAGCGAGAUUGCCCCGCGCAACGGGGAGGAAGGUGGGGAUGAUGUCAAGUCAGCAUGGCUCUUACGCCCUGGGCUACACACACGCUACAAUGGCCGGGACAACGGGCAGCCACGUCGUGAGGCGGAGCGAAUCCCUCAAACCCGGUCUCAGUUGGGAUUGCAGGCUGCAACCCGCCUGCAUGAACCCGGAGUUGCUAGUAACCGUGGGUCAGCACUACCGCGGUGAAUACGUUCCCGGGGCUUGUACACACCGCCCGUCACGUCAUGGAAGUCGACAACGCCUGAAGUCGCUGAGCUAACCCCGACUUGUCGGGGAGUCAGGCGCCGAGGGUGGGGCCGGUGACU
rnacentral:rRNA from 1 species